GGUUUCAUAAACUCAGCCUCCAGCUGGUAGAGCAGGAGACUCUUGAACUCAGUGUCGUGGGUUCAAUCCCCACAUUGGGCGAAAUCU